ensembl:lncRNA LINC00299 long intergenic non-protein coding RNA 299
GGUGUACAGGGAGCAUGGUGCCAGCAUCUGCUUCUGAUGAGGCCUCAGGAAGCUUCCAAUCAUGGCAAAACGUGAAGUGGGAGCAGACACAUCACAUGGAGAAUCUCCCGAGAACACCCUCUGAUCAGCACUCUGCAUGCAAUUUCCAUCUCAGACUCUGUUUCUAGGAAGACUUUCAGGCAGCUGACACUGGACGUGGUUGUGAGUUGCAGGCCCUAAUGAAAAAUUGGAGAGGAAGCAGGUGGCCGGCUGAUGAAAUGAUAACCAGAAGGCCUGUGGGCUUGGGUGGCUGAGGCUGAGGCUACUGAGUGUUGAAGAGAGAGAGGCAGAGGCGCAGGAUGACUCAUCACUGGUUUCAGGCAAACUGUGAAAGCCAGAGCACUUCCUUGGCAGCAUUUAAGAAAACCCCGAUGAUCUGCAGCUGGAAGGCAGGUUGGCUGGAGGACCAGUCUGAACCCUGAGUAGGUUAAGUUCUCAGUCCUUCAGACACAGGGCUCUAAUGGGAAAGAGGUGAGACCCUUACACUUAGGGUGGGAGCCCUGGACAGUUGGGAACCCUGAACACUUACAUGCCCCUGAGUCCCCUGGGCCUGCAGAAAUGGCCUAUUUCUCAUGUCAUGUAGAAGAUUGUAGACUGCUUGAACCUGGGAGGCGGAGCUUGCAGUGAGCCCAGAUUGCACCAUUGCACUCCAGCCUGGGCAACAGAGCGAGACUCG